UAGCGGUCGCGGCCCGCAGGCGCGGCGUGGGGAGGCAAGACUUUGUGUCCGACCCACGCGGGCAGCGGGGACCCCGAGGCCGAGAAGCUCUCUGGAGCCCGAGGACGGGUCUUUCCGUCCAGGGUGUCGCCGAGUUCCUUGUUUAGCUGCCGGGCAAACUGAGGCAGGGGCAGCGAGGAUGCUCGCGGAGUUUAACGCGCAGUUAAUGGAGAGAACUUUUUCCAGACCUAGGCGUCGGCCCCAUCCUCCUUUGAAAAUUGGAAUAACCUUGAACUUCAUCGAACCUGUUCUCUCAUUUGCACUUGGAGUCUUGAGGAAGGGAUUUGCCCAAAGCUGCACAGUGAGUUGGUGGCAGAGCCAGUGAUUUAGCCUCUCUUGCCUGAGUUCCUAUCUCAAACGUAGCUGUCAGCUGUCGGAGACACUAAGGAGGCUGCCACACAAAGAAGUUACUUGGGAGACAAAGCAGGCCGGACCCUUCUGACAAUCUCUGGAGCCCCCCAGUGGAGAGGAGAAUGAAGGGAAAAGUAAACCAGAGAGGAAGAGUUGCCCUUGAAGUUGUCCACUGGGUUCCACGGCAUUUAGAAUAAAGUGAUGCUCUUUACCUGAGCAGACAAUCCCGUAUACUGUCCAUUCACUGCCAGUUUGUCCAGCUUCAUCUAGAAUCGCUGUUUCCUUUGCUCACUCAAGUCUAGCCACCCUGGUUUUGUGCUCUUUGAAGCUCAUGCUGAGCCUGUCCACAUCCCAGGGCAUGUGAGUGAGCCUUCUUCAUGCAUGAACUCCUCACCAUUCAGACACCAGCUCAUAUUUCUUUAUCUCAGACAGAACUUCCUUCAACUCUUCACUUCCAGUUGUUUCUUCCCCACUUCUCCCCUACGCACUCUUGCUUUUUCCAUCUCAUCACUCACCAUGAGCUAGAAUUAAUUUGCUUUUGUAACUUCUUUGCUAUGGUUUGCCCAUUGAAUGCAGGCUCUGUGAAGGUGGGAAUGGCAACUGCUUUAUCCACCAUUAUAUAUACAGUGUGAAACUGGUGUUUGGUAUAUAGUAAGUGUUCAAUUAAAUGAAGAAACAUUUCUCUGUUCCCAUCAUUCUCUGCAUUGCUUAGUACAGGAGGAAAA